GCAAUCUAUGGGGGCGCAGCUGAUGGAUCCGCGAAUGCUGAGGGUGGUCAGGUGGAGACGGUGUGUACAGCCAUGUCGGGUCGAUUGAGCUGGAUCCCUUUGUGGCAGGCAUCGUCGAUGCAGUAGCAGGUGCUGGCGAGGUAGAAGGUGACGGGCAGGCUGAUUCCGCGCAGUGCACCGUAAAUAUGAAUCAAACAUCGAAGGGCUGGACCAAGAGAUGUUUACCUUCACGCAAACUGUCUCACGGUUCUAGCAAACAUGGGCCUUCAUGCCCAUAGGCUGAGCGCGUAUGCAUCUCAAAGGCUGGUUAGCCUCUUCGACAUGCUUUCUCGCAAGUAUGUUAUCUCAAUCGCUAUUCGGUUCUUACUUUUUGCACGUAAAGCAAACUUGUCCUUUUGCUUGUAUGUACCAUCUAACAGGUAUGCCAAAUUAGCUGAGUUAAAAAAUUAAAAGGCUCUCAAAGUUAUAUCUGAUCAAAUUGAAAACAGGCAUCGUCUCAGAUGAUAUGGUACUCUACAGUUAUCUUACAUCGUCAUAGCACCAUUGUUUAUGAGCGGUUUACUUUUGUAGUCAACAUAGCUUCACAUAUACACUGACUUCUUGAUAAUCGUUCUGUAAAUCAUGAAUGCAAUCCUCACAUAUGCAUUUCCCAGAAAUCCCAAGGUAUGUUAGUUCCCAAUGCAGUUUACUGUAUAGGCAGAACCAAAACUGCUUCUAACAUGUUCAUGAUCAGGGUUGUGUAUGCCAUAUUGCACCACCAAGAGGUUUUUGAGCCCUUUAAGAACCAUCCUAAUUGCUUGAGAAUAUUUACAUGGUUCUUCAAUGGUCGAAUAGACAUGCAACAAUUAGAUGGGGAAUGGUCUGUGGACAAGGUUCUUGAGCUCAUUAACAAACAUUGCCGUUCAUGGCGUGGAGAAGAAAUAAAGAUGUUUACACAAUCAUGAUUUACAUAUGACAAUAUGAGCAAGAAAGUCACCCGGGGGAAUUCUUCACUUUCCAUAUGCUUGGCGGCUUAUCCUAUCACGAGGGAAUAGGCUUAUCCUAUCACGAGGGCUGUCAGGCUCCUGGUGACGUUGACCAUAAAUCGGCAUCGAUGUGAAUAUGGGGAGACGGAGAAGUGGUUGGGGAUGUGCGCCUGCUCACCCUGUGCUUGAAGAAGAUGUCAAGGAGGUGUAAGGAUGCUUGGAGUUAGCCAGAAUUUUCUGUUUCGUCGGCGGCCGAAGGGUACAAAGUCAAGCUCGCAUUCGUCGAUCUGCUGCUUCCCGCACAAUCUAGAGGGUGGUGAGGUGGAGGGCAGCGCUAGGAUCGGCCGGCGAAGGAGCUCGGGCGCUCCGGCGGCGUGGU